rnacentral:rRNA from 1 species
GCAAGUCGAACGGAGAAGCACCUUCGGGUGUGGAUCAGUGGCGAACGGGUGAGUAACACGUGGGUAACCUGCCCCUCACUUUGGGAUAACUCCGGGAAACCGGGGCUAAUACUGGAUAUCACCAGACCGGGCAUCCGGACUGGUUGAAAGGGUUUACUGGUGAGGGAUGGACCCGCGGCCUAUCAGCUAGUUGGUGGGGUAAUGGCCUACCAAGGCGACGACGGGUAGCCGGCCUGAGAGGGUGUAC